rfam:Pan troglodytes isolate Yerkes chimp pedigree #C0471 (Clint) chromosome 21, whole genome shotgun sequence.
UAUUAGGUUGGUGCAAAAGUCACUGCUGUUUUUGCCAUUGAAAGUAAUGGCAAAAAUCGCAGUGACUUUUGCACCAACCCGAUA